UACAGAGGUCCCAAUCGUUGUUCGGAUUCAUUGGGCGUAAAGGGUGCGUAGGCGGUGCCGUAAGUCGGGUGUGAAAUCCCGGGGCUCAACCCCGGAACUGCACUCGAUACUGCGGUGCUCGAGGACUGGAGAGGAGACUGGAAUUCACGGUGUAGCAGUGAAAUGCGUAGAUAUCGUGAGGAAGGCCAGUGGCGAAGGCGGGUCUCUGGACAGUUCCUGACGCUGAGGCACGAAGGCUGGGGGAGAAAACGGG
rnacentral:rRNA from 1 species